GAUGAAGAACGCAGCGAAAUGCGAUAAGUAAUGUGAAUUGCAGAAUCCAGUGAAUCAUCGAAUCUUUGAACGCACAUUGCGCCCGCCAGCAUUCUGGCGGGCAUGCCUGUUCGAGCGUCAUUUCAACCCUCGACCUCCCUUUGUGGAAGUCGGCGUUGGGGACCGGCAGCACACCGCCGGCCCUGAAAUGGAGUGGCGGCCCGUCCGCGGCGACCUCUGCGUAGUAAUCCAACUCGCACCGGAACCCCGACGCGGCCACGCCGUAAAACACCCAACUUCUGAACGUUGACCUCGAAUCAGGUAGGACUACCCGCUGAACUUAAGUAUAUCAAUAAGCGGAGGA
rnacentral:misc_RNA from 1 species